UGAACGCUGGCGGCAUGCCUAACACAUGCAAGUCGAACGAAGGCUUCGGCCUUAGUGGCGCACGGGUGCGUAACGCGUGGGAAUCUGCCCUCAGGUUCGGAAUAACAGCGAGAAAUUGCUGCUAAUACCGGAUGAUAUCGCGAGAUCAAAGAUUUAUCGCCUGAGGAUGAGCCCGCGUAGGAUUAGCUAGUUGGUGUGGUAAAGGCGCACCAAGGCGACGAUCCUUAGCUGGUCUGAGAGGAUGAUCAGCCACACUGGGACUGAGACACGGCCCAGA
rnacentral:rRNA from 1 species